UUAGUAACGGCGAGCGAACAGGGAAAAGCCCAGCACUGAAUCGCGCGCCCACUGGGACGCAGCGAAAUGUAGUGUUUGGGAGGAUUCGCAAUUCUGUAGUUUGGCGAUGCGUCCAAGUCCUUCUUGAAUGGGGCCAUUUACCCACAGAGGGUGCCAGGCCCGUAGUGACCAUUGCCGGCUGCGGAAGAAUCUCUCCUUAGAGUCGGGUUGCUUGAGAGUGCAGCCCUAAGUAGGUGGUAAACUCCAUCUAAGGCUAAAUAUAACCACAAGACCGAUAGCGAACAAGUACCGUGAGGGAAAGUUGAAAAGAACUUUGAAGAGAGAGUUCAAUAGUACGUGAAACCGUUUAGGGGUAAACCUGAGAAACCCGAAAGUUCGACCGAGGAGAUUCAGCUUGUUUCGGAAUGGAUGCGUAGCAUUUGCGAGACGGCUGACGUUUACGUCGGUCGCUACUGGUGUUGCCAUUUUUGACGAACUCGUGCACUUCUCCUCCAGUAGGACGUCGCAACCCGUUGGGUGUCGGUCUGAGACUUGCGGUGGAGCUUGUACGUUUCGGCGUGCAAACCCGUGAUGUUCCGGCCGACUGCUUGACGGUAGAAUUAAGGCGCAGGGCCGCGACUAGCUCGCGUUCAGCCCAAUGCAAGCGCGGCUGGUUAUUUGUUUUUCGGACUUGUGCCGACCUCAAAGCUAGUCGGCUGUUUGUGUUGGUGAUCCUGAACAGACUCUGUACACGCCUGUUAGCGGCGCUAUAGCUUUGGGUACUUUCAGGACCCGUCUUGAAACACGGACCAAGGAGUCUAGCAUGUGCGCAAGUCAUUGGGACUAUCGAAUCCUAAAGGCGUAAUGAAAGUAAAAGUAGAGCCUAGCUCUACCUAGGGAAGAUGGGUAGCUUUUGUUGCCUCGCACUCCCGGGGCGUCUUGUUCUCAUUGCGAGAAAAGGCGCACCUAGAGCGUACACGCUGGGACCCGAAAGAUGGUGAACUAUGCCUGGUCAGGAC
rnacentral:rRNA from 1 species